rnacentral:rRNA from 1 species
AGUGAACGCUGGCGGUAGGCCUAACACAUGCAAGUCGAACGGCAGCACAGUAAGAGCUUGCUCUUACGGGUGGCGAGUGGCGGACGGGUGAGGAAUACAUCGGCAUCUACUUUUUCGUGGGGGAUAACGGAGGGAAACUUACGCUAAUACCGCAUACGACCUACGGGUGAAAGCAGGGGAUCUUCGGACCUUGCGCGAUUGAAUGAGCCGAUGUCGGAUUAGCUAGUUGGCGGGGUAAAGGCCCACCAAGGCGACGAUCCGUAGCUGGUCUGAGAGGAUGAUCAGCCACACUGGAACUGAGACACGGUCCAGACUCCUACGGGAGGCAGCAGUGGGGAAUAUUGGACAAUGGGCGCAAGCCUGAUCCAGCCAUACCGCGUGGGUGAAGAAGGCCUUCGGGUUGUAAAGCCCUUUUGUUGGGAAAGAAAAGCAGCAGGUUAAUACCCCGCUGUUCUGACGGUACCCAAAGAAUAAGCACCGGCUAACUUCGUG